rnacentral:rRNA from 1 species
UCGCCUGUUUAUCAAAAACAUUGUUAUUAGAAAUUAUUAAUAAUACAUCUGCUCAAUGAAAAAUUAAAUAGCCGCAUUAGUGCUAAGGUAGCAUAAUCAUUUGUCUUUUAAUUUAAGACUAGAACAAAAGAAUUUACAUUUAAAUAAAUUUCUUAAAAUUAUUAAUUAAAAUUAUUUUUAAUGUAAAAAAACAUUAAUUAAUAAAAUAGACGAUAAGACCCUAUCGAACUUUACUUUAGUUUAACUGGGGCAGUUAAUUAAUUAUUAUUUUAAAUAAAACUAUAUUUUAAAUGACCUAAUUUAAUUAAAUUAAUGAUCAAGUUACCGUAGGGAUAACAGUGUAAUAUUAUUUUAAAGAUCUUAUUUAAAAUAAAGAUUGCAACCUCGAUGUUGACUUAAUAUCCUUUUUUACGCAAUAGUAAAAUUAGGAAGUCUGUUCGACUUUUUAAAAAUUACAUGAUCUGAUUCCAAACCGGA